rnacentral:misc_RNA from 1 species
GAAACGCGAUAGUUAAUGUGAAUUGCAGAAUUCAGUGAAUCAUCGAGUCUUUGAACGCACAUUGCGCCCAUAGGUAUUCCUUUGGGCAUGUCUGUUUGAGCGUCAUUACAACCCUCAGCUAACCGCUGGUUUUGAACCUGAACGGGUGACACCGCGCCGGUUUUAAAGUUGUAAGCUCUUCUGGCCGCUCUGCCCAACCAGAACAUAGUAAGCACUACUUGUCCGGGUGAAGCUGAACGGUACGGCCUGAACAAAACAUACCCACUCUCAAGGUUUGACCUCAGAUCAGACAAGGAUACCCGCUGAACUUAAGC